UGGGGAAUCUUAGACAAUGGGCGCAAGCCUGAUCUAGCCAUGCCGCGUGGAUGAAGAAGGCCUUAGGGUCGUAAAGUCCUUUCGCUGGGGAAGAUAAUGACGGUACCCAGUAAAGAAACCCCGGCUAACUCCGUGCCAGCAGCCGCGGUAAUACGGAGGGGGUUAGCGUUGUUCGGAAUUACUGGGCGUAAAGCGCGCGUAGGCGGAUCGGAAAGUCGGGGGUGAAAUCCCGGGGCUCAACCCCGGAAUUGCCUUCGAAACUCCCGGUCUUGAGUUCGAGAGAGGUGAGUGGAAUUCCGAGUGUAGAGGUGAAAUUCGUAGAUAUUCGGAGGAACACCAGUGGCGAAGGCGGCUCACUGGCUCGAUACUGACGCUGAGGUGCGAAAGCGUGGGGAGCAAA
rnacentral:rRNA from 1 species